rnacentral:rRNA from 1 species
AACGAACGCUGGCGGCAGGCCUAACACAUGCAAGUCGAACGAGCUGGGACCUACGGGUCCCGAUGCUAGUGGCGCACGGGUGAGUAACACGUGGGAAUCUACCCAAUAGUACGGAAUAACUGAGGGAAACUUUGGCUAAUACCGUAUACGCCCUUCGGGGGAAAGAUUUAUCGCUAUUGGAUGAGCCCGCGUCUGAUUAGGUAGUUGGUGAGGUAACGGCUCACCAAGCCGACGAUCAGUAGCUGGUCUGAGAGGAUGAUCAGCCACACUGGGGCUGAGACACGGCCCAGACUCCUACGGGAGGCAGCAGUGGGGAAUAUUGGACAAUGGGGGAAACCCUGAUCCAGCCAUGCCGCGUGUGUGAAGAAGGCCUUAGGGUUGUAAAGCACUUUCGUCUAUGAAGAUAAUGACAGUAGUAGAAGAAGAAGCUCCGGCUAAAUUCGUGCCAGCCGCCGCCGAA